AAACUGAGCUCUCCCUCCCCUUCCUCAGCCAGUUUCGGUCUGUCCCACAGCUUUCCCCCGUGACAUCGCUCACAAUUAGUUGGGGCCCUUCUCAGUGCCGAAGGAGAUGGAUUUUCAGUUCGAUGUAGCCGGCUGCUGCUGCUCUAAUUGUUCCUCUUUAGGAUUCCAUUCCCCUGAGUGUAUUGGUUGGUAACAUGCUGGUUGAGUGUACAUCUAAUUCGUCGGUAUAUAUACAUCUAUUUUAUGUGUCGAGGACUCUGUUCCCUGUGUACAGUGUGGUGUGAAUAGAUUGAAUUGUCCGUGAAUCGUUCUGUUGUAGUCUAGGCCGAUAGCUGAAUAGCGGGUUUUACCUCUUCUGAUAGACAGGCGUUGUAGGAGUUUGCCAGGGACGACAUUAAGAGUUCUGGAAUAGGGUAGUUGUGUUCUUCCUUCCCAGUUGGAUCUUUUCGCGGUGGCUAGACCACACACCGACUUGUAGGAUAUCCCGAUCGCCGUGUGCAGGGUCCUAGCCCUUCAGACGAUUUGCUGCAGCGGCGCAUCACUCACAUUGCGAUGCCCUCAACUCCCGUCAGCAUCCGGAUUCACCAGACUUAGAGUCGAUGCUGCAUUGACUCUUCAACUCUACAUACAUCUGUGGCUGAUUUGUAGCCUUUUGUCUACGCAGCUGUGCUCACUCAUCAACUCUUCAUAUGUGCUCUCUCUCUUCACUGUCAAGACCUCGCUUUCGGUCAGCUGCAUGUCAGACUGCUUGAAGGCCGAGGAGAACAUCUCUAACGCGGUCGCUUCUUGUACCCAUCAAAAGCUUCAUUAAGCUGCUGUCGACAGGGGCACUGCACCCUCACUCGUGAUCACUCUCUUCUGUCAAUCCGCUGACUUGGACCUGUCGAUACUUGCCCCUACUCUUUUCCUGUUGGAGGGUGGUGUCCGGAUCUCAGGAGCACGAAGUUACAUCCACAAACCCGUUCGCUCCAAUUUAGACUUCACUGACCAAAGUAGAUUGAAUCAAUCCGUGCAUCGAUUCACAGGAGCACUGACCUGAUCUAUGCGACGGUGCGAGAAAAAUCAUCCCAGCGUGGUGCUACGCUAGUCACCUAGUCAUCAGCAUCGGUGCUACGUAAACUUAUGGCAAUGGUGCGUUCCUAUCAGUGCGUCACUUCAAGGAAGCCCUUCCCAAGUCUUCAUCCGGCCCGCUACCUUUGCGUAGCUGCUUCACUGGAGGCCUGGGUGGAGACUGGCGGACAGCUUUGCGAUGUUACGGUUGUAGCCAAUUCUUGUUGCACUUAGAUUUCCACUGGGCGUUAUCCCUCUUGAGCUGAGAAGACAAGGGCUCCCUCCUAGGGGGCGAAAAUAGGUGAGCUGGGGUCACCUUGUUAGCGGGGUGUUAAGCAUUUGAAUGCAACACUCCUACGCAAGACCCUAGCUAUGGCUCCAUAGGGUGUGAUGAGUGCUUCAUCCGGUGCUCUUCUACUGCCUUGCCCACCUACCCUUGUGAUAUGGGCCGCGCGUGUCUGCGUGUCUCCUGUAUCGGUUGUAUAUCACUCCUGAGCUACGGGUGUGCAAUUCCCAUGUCUUUUGGGAAUAGGCGUCAAGACUAGAGGUAGUUUUGUUGUCUUAGCCGGCCACAGGCGGCGGUGAUAAAACCUGCAGUUGAUGUAAUGGAGUCACAUACUGAAUCCACUUGACUGGCUGUGGCUGAAAUAAAAACAUUUUCCACAUUGAUCUCA